AGGCUUGUAUGAAUGGUUGGACAAAAAGUUAACUGUCUCAAUUAUAAAAAUUGAAUUUAACUUUUAAGUGAAAAGGCUUAAAUAUACUGAGGGGACGAUAAGACCCUAUAAAGCUUUACAAUAAAUUAAUUAAAUUAUAAAUUAUAAGUUUAACUUAAUUUAAUUAGUAUUUGUUUCGUUGGGGCGACGAGAAUAUAAUUAUAUAACUGUUCUUUUAUUGUUAUAACAAAUUUAAUUGGGUGAAAAUUGAUCCUUUUAUAAAGAUUAAAAGAUUAAGUUACUUUAGGGAUAACAGCGUAAUCUACUU
rnacentral:rRNA from 1 species